AACGAACGCCGGCGGCAUGCCUAACACAUGCAAGUCGAACGCGUGGCUACGGCCACGAGUGGCGCACGGGUGAGUAACGCGUGGGAACCUGCCCGGCAGUACGGGACAACCGCGGGAAACUGCGGCUAAUACCGUAUGAGCCCUGAGGGGGAAAGAUUUAUCGCUGUCGGAGGGGCCCGCGGCGGAUUAGGUAGUGGGUGGGGUAACGGCCUACCGAGCCUGCGAUCCGUAGCUGGUCUGAGAGGAUGAUCAGCCACACUGGGACUGAGACACGGCCCAGACUCCUACGGGAGGCAGCGGUGGGGAAUAUUGGACAAUGGGGGUAACCCUGCUCCAGCAAUGCCGCGUGAGUGAUGAAGGCCUUAGGGUUGUAAAGCUCUUUCGCACGCGACGAUGAUGACGGUAGCGUGAGAAGAAGCCCCGGCUAACUCCGUGCCAGCCGCCGCUGUAACAC
rnacentral:rRNA from 1 species